rnacentral:lncRNA from 1 species
AAGAGAAGCAGGCAGCAGAGACCAUGAGGCCCCCCUCAGCCCCUCCCCGCAGAGGAUGCAUCCCCUGGCAGGGGCUCCUGCUCACAGGCUCAUGGGCAAAAGGGACUUGCCUUGUCUCAGAAGAGACUUGGGACUUUGGACUUUACUGGUAAUGCUGGAAAGAGGUAAUGGACUGUUGGAAAACCAUUGUUACAUUUUGAAAUGUGAGAAAUGUCAGGCCUCUGAGCCCAAGCCAAGCCAUCGCAUCCCCUGUGACUUGCAUGUAUAUGCCCAGAUGGCCUGAAGUAACUGAAGAAUCACA